rnacentral:rRNA from 1 species
AGUGAACGCUGGCGGUAGGCCUAACACAUGCAAGUCGAACGGCAGCACAGUAAGAGCUUGCUCUUACGGGUGGCGAGUGGCGGACGGGUGAGGAAUACAUCGGACUCUACUUUUUCGUGGGGGAUAACGUAGGGAAACUUACGCUAAUACCGCAUACGACCUACGGGUGAAAGCAGGGGAUCUUCGGACCUUGCGCGAUUGAAUGCGCCGAUGUCGGAUUAGCUAGUUGGCGGGGUAAAGGCCCACCAAGGCGACGAUCCGUAGCUGGUCUGAGAGGAUGGUCAGCCACACUGGAGCUGAGACACGGUCCAGACGCCUACGGGAGGCAGCAGUGGGGAAUAGGGGACAAUGGGCGCAAGCCUGAUCCAGCCAGACCGCGUGGGUUAAGAAGGCCUUCGGUUUGUAAAGCCCUCUUUUUGGGAAAGAAAAGCAGCAGGUUAAGACGCCGCGGUUCUGACGGUACCCAAAGAAUAAGCACCGGCUAACUUCGUG